rnacentral:lncRNA from 1 species
AUACAUGCAGUCAUUAGCCCUUCUCAUAUUAGUUUAGAGUUAUAUUUAGUGUCAUUCUUUUGAUACUACCAAAUUACAUAAUAGUGUAUUAUAACGCCAAUUAGCUUAUAGCAACAUAAUGUCAACAUCAUUGUGUCUCCGAGGGACCAUUUGAAAAAGAAACCAGUUGAUCAUGUGUGUUUCCAAAGCACAGAAACUCUUGGGCACCACAGCAGUCCUUUUUCACGUGUAUGGCAUAUUAUGUGAUUGACUAUUUUAGUAAGAAGAUGUUAUAUAUGAUUUAACUGAGAAAAGGUUUGUUUUUUCUAAUUACUUCUAAAUCAAGAAAAAAUUUUUUUCAAUCACUGAGUACUAAAAUCAUUUUUGCUUCAAUGUACAGCCCUGGCUUAACAACCACGUUCAUCUUUCAUUCUCACCUCACAAGCAAUGGUUGUACUAAUUCAUUUAAAUUAAAAUGUUUUUUUUAAAUCUUUCAGAUCAUAUGCAAUAUACAUUAGACAUCCUUUUCUGAUAGAUAGUUAUGUGCUAGCAAUUUUUAUAUAUCAUACCAACUCUCUAGAGUAAUCUGGACUGUAAUUUUAAAUUAUAUCAUCAUUCUACCAAAACAUACACAAUUUGACAAACCAAAUUAUUAAAACACACAACAUUAAAUGCUAGUAUCAUUCAUCAGUUAUUGCAUGCAGGAUAAAUUAGAAGUGACAAUGGAGAUACAGUUUCAGUAAAUUGGGUAAAAUAUUAUGUUUCAAUAAGAAUGCCUAUUUUAAAAAGCAGUGAAAUGAGAGCGAUGAAAUACUACAGGUAGCUUCAGCAACACAUCACGGAGAGGCAGUGUAAUUUUCACAUUCAAUCUGACUGUUUCCAUAUUCAGUCUGCUAAUAUUGUGUACAUGCUCAAGGAAACGAUAGUAUUAGACAAUGUUUCAUCCAUAAUACACUUCCAAUAAAAAGUGGAAUUUACUCCUUAUUUAGUCUCAUUAGUUUUAGAGCAGUAAAACUCAAAAAAUUUUCCUGUGGAAAGAGUGUUGUACGUUUUUAAUGGUAUGUCAAAUGACAAUUUUUAGGAAUAUUUCAUCACAUGUAAAGUUAUAAUUUUAAUCUGUGAGCCUAAUUUUGUAAAAUCACCUUAAGUCAAGUCUAUAAAUAUUGCAUCAUAAUGGAAUCAAAGAUAUAACAAUGUCCAUGAUAUAAAUGUGUCACCCUUUUUAGGAAACAUGUAUUUUUAAUUUUAGGAAAAUAUUAAAUGCAAUGCCUUUAUCCAACAUUGUGACUUAGAAAUUCUAUAGAGGAUAUAAAUAUUUUCAUUAUUCAUUCUCUUUUGUUUCUAGUUUGCACUAUAAUUUGUCCUCAGAUGCUCUGAAAUGUUGAAUUCCUUUUGCUUUUCCAUGAAAUGGAAGAAAAAUAUUCCUAGCAGUACUUGACAUAUAGGCUCUCAGAAGUAGGCAUUGAUAUUACUGUAGAAUCUUGCAGAGUUGUGUAUGGAGUUCGGUUGAUCAAACUGAAUGUGAUGAAUGUUUGCCAAGUUAAAUAAGGAACUUAUGGUAUUGAAAGAUAAUGAGAUUGUUUUUGUCAUUAUUUUUAAUUUUAUCCUUCACAACAAUGUGUAGCAUAAAUACCCACAGAACUACAAAACCUUUAAUAUUGGUACACUCAAUGAUUUUGCGGGAAUCAUAUUUUCUCAUACUGGCAAUUUUGUGUGUGUGUUCUUAAUCCUUCCUCAAGUCUAAUUUUGUAGUGGUAAAGGCUUUGCAUUAACAUCCUUUUUAUGUUCCUUUUUUAAACAAGGAAUACCAGAAAAUUGCUAAAUUCAAUAUUUUUUACACCCUGAAGUAGUAAAGUUAUUUUGUAUAUUGUUAGUACUUCAAGAAAUAUCCCCCUGAGAAGUUGGACAAAACCCUUAUGCAGUCAUCUGUGAAACUGUUCAGUAGAGAAUAUUUUCUGCAAACACUUGGCUUAGAUUUUAGAUCUUAGCAUUCUGUCAGAAUGCUGGUAGCUGUGUGCCGCCAGAGUAUAGCAGGCAAUAAUAUGACUUUGAUUCUAAUACUUUUAGUGUGCAUGCAUGUGUUUCUAAUCACUGUUAUUUUUCAAGUAUUUGUAAAAUUAGAAAAAAAAAUCUUUUCUGGAAAACUCGUCCGAUGCUUAGUUUGAAGUUUUUCUCCCCAGAUGUUUUUUGAGGAGUGUGAAAAUACUGCAUUCUGGAUGCAGAAAAUAUUACAUUUUCACAUGCAACUUAAAAAAUUCUGGAAGAUAGAACUCUCACUUCCCAAACAUCUGUAUGUCCUUGAGCUGAAUGUGAGCAGCGAGCUUCAGUUCUGUGGACAUGUCUGAUACAAUUAUCUGUGAGUGAAAACAGGGUAUUCUAACACAUGAGUUUCAGUCUUAAUUGCAGUGUUGUUACUGUGAAUGCUAUAAUCAUACAUAAGUAAAAUGUGUGUAAAUGUAAUAUAUUAUUUUAUACUGCUGUAUACAUACAAAAUAAAUAAAACUAGGAUACAUAUCACACC